CCUUCGAUAGCUCAGCUGGAAGAGCGUGAGACUGUAAUCGGAUACCGCUAUCUCAAGGUCGCUGGUUCGACCCCGUCUCGAAGGA